rnacentral:rRNA from 1 species
GAUGAACGCUGGCGGCGUGCCUAAUACAUGCAAGUCGAGCGAACAGACGAGGAGCUUGCUCCUCUGACGUUAGCGGCGGACGGGUGAGUAACACGUGGAUAACCUACCUAUAAGACUGGGAUAACUUCGGGAAACCGGAGCUAACACCGGAUAAUAUGUUGAACCGCAUGGUUCAAUAGAGAAAGACGGUUUUGCUGUCACUUAUAGAUGGAUCCGCGCCGCAUUAGCUAGUUGGUAGGGUAACGGCUUACCAAGGCGACGAUGCGUAGCCGACCUGAGAGGGUGAUCAGCCACACUGGAACUGAGACACGGUCCAGACUCCUACGGGAGGCAGCAGUAGGGAAUCUUGCGCAAUGGGCGAAAGCCUGACGCAGCCACGCCGCGUGAGUGAAGAAGGUCUUCGGAUCGUAAAACUCUGUUAGUAGGGAAGAACAGAUGUAUAAGAAACCAUUCCCGUCUUGACGUUACCUAAUCAGAAAGCCACGGCUAACUACGUG